rnacentral:tRNA from 1 species
UGUUAUGUGGCUUGGUUGGUUAAAGCGCCGCUCUACCGAAUACGAAGCCGUGGGUUCGAGUCCCACCAGACCAA